rnacentral:rRNA from 1 species
UACGUAGGGGGCAAGCGUUGUCCGGAUUUAUUGGGCGUAAAGAGCGUGUAGGCGGCUUCACAGGUCCGCUGUGAAAACUCGAGGCUCAACCUCGAGAUGUCGGUGGAAACCGUGUGGCUAGAGUCCGGAAGAGGAGAGUGGAAUUCCCGGUGUAGCGGUGAAAUGCGCAGAUAUCGGGAAGAACACCCGUGGCGAAGGCGGCUCUCUGGGACGGUACUGACGCUGAGACGCGAAAAGCGUGGGGGAGCGAACAGG